UCACUAUUUACCAUUCAAAUUUUAAAUAUUAUCGAUAAAUAUUUGAAUAAAUUUAUAUUUUAUACCUACCUAUUUAGGCGGACCUUAUCUAGUAUUGUAUACAAAUAGAGAACAAGUAGAAGUGAAAGAGAGAUAAGGUUUUCGUAGAAGAAACCUUUAGAAGCGUUUCUCAACAAGUAGUGACAGUUGUCAUAACACUAUUGA
rnacentral:sRNA from 1 species